rnacentral:rRNA from 1 species
UGGGGAAUUUUGGACAAUGGGCGCAAGCCUGAUCCAGCAAUGCCGCGUGCAGGAUGAAGGCCUUCGGGUUGUAAACUGCUUUUGUACGGAACGAAAAGCCUCUCUCUAAUACAGGGGGGUGAUGACGGUACCGUAAGAAUAAGCACCGGCUAACUACGUGCCAGCAGCCGCGGUAAUACGUAGGGUGCAAGCGUUAAUCGGAAUUACUGGGCGUAAAGCGUGCGCAGGCGGUUUUGUAAGACAGUGGUGAAAUCCCCGGGCUCAACCUGGGAACUGCCAUUGUGACUGCAAGGCUGGAGUGCGGCAGAGGGGGAUGGAAUUCCGCGUGUAGCAGUGAAAUGCGUAGAUAUGCGGAGGAACACCGAUGGCGAAGGCAAUCCCCCUGGGCCUGCACUGACGCUCAUGCACGAAAGCGUGGGGAGCAAAACAGGAUUAGAUACCCUGGUAGUCCACGCCCUAAACGAUGUCAACUGGUUGUUGGGGAUUUAUUUCUUCAGUAACGAAGCUAA